GCUCUUUAGCGUUAGGGAACCAUUGCGUUCUAGCCGGGCGAUAAGCCAGGCUCUAAUUUAUUGGUCAGU
rnacentral:sRNA from 1 species